rnacentral:rRNA from 1 species
UACGUAGGUGGCAAGCGUUGUCCGGAUUUACUGGGCGUAAAGAGCGCGCAGGCGGUCGUUCAAGUCGCGUGUGAAAGCCCCCGGCUCAACUGGGGAGGGUCACUCGAUACUGAUCGACUCGAAGGCAGGAGAGGGUAGUGGAAUUCCCGGUGUAGUGGUGAAAUGCGUAGAUAUCGGGAGGAACACCAGUGGCGAAGGCGACUACCUGGCCUGUUCUUGACGCUGAGGCGCGAAAGCUAGGGGAGCAAACGGGG